AGGUGAAGUGAGUGGACUGUACGAGGAGAGAGAUAACGCAGCAGCAGAGAGGACUCACCUGUGUGUGCCUGACGUACCUGCUCCUACAGGCUCAGGUUUACACUCAGACUUCCCUCUCAGCUCUGACUGCUGACUUCAUGAAUUUGAAGGCUUAAUGUUAUCUCUGUGCUGAGACGCAGAUUUCCCCACAGAGGCGACCUCUUCAGUCCAACGGGCUGCAGGAAACAAGAAUAAAGGAAAGAAAGCAGAUUUUUGUCACUUUAAUUUGCAGUCACAGCACAAAGCCGUCAACGUUCAGUUAUUACAAGAACAUAUGAGCCCAGUUUGAAUCUGAAGGUACUGAAAAACAGUUUGAUUCAGCACUUUAACGUCAAAUUUUACCAUCUAGUGUGUGUGUGUGUGUGCGUGUGUGUGUGUGCCUAAUUACACCCAGAAGCAGCCGGUUAAAUAAAUAUCUCUCAUGUGACGGUGAUCCGGGGACACGCAGGAAUGUUUCUACACACUAAAUUGGUGACCCAGUGGCUUGUGUGUGUGUGUGUGUGUGUGUGUGUGUGUGUGUGUGUCUGUGUGUGUGUGUGUGUCUGUGUGUGUGUCUGU